rnacentral:rRNA from 1 species
UACGGAAUGUGCAAACGUUAUUCGGAAUCACUGGGCUUAAAGAGUCCGUAGGCGGCUUGUUAGGUGAGGUGUGAAAUCCCCCGGCUCAACCGGGGAAUUGCGCUUCAAACCGGCGAGCUUGAGGAAGAUAGAGGUGGGCGGAACUGAUGGUGGAGCGGUGAAAUGCGUUGAUAUCAUCAGGAACACCGGAGGCGAAAGCGGCCCACUGGGUCUUAUCUGACGCUGAGGGACGAAAGCUAGGGGAGCGAAC